AAAUUGGAAUAAAAUAUUUUCGUUUUUGUAAAUAUUAUUUUCGUUUUUAUUAUAUGAAUAUUUCUUUUUAUUAUAUAUGUUAUUUACCAAAAUAUAAAAAGGAAACUAAAAUCUAAAUGGAAUAGAUUAUUAAGUAUUUUUAAUAAUGGCAAUUUGAAAUAAUAGUUUAAUUCAUUAAGGUUACCUAUGUAAAUAGCCG
rnacentral:lncRNA from 1 species